AUAAUUAUCUAUGGAAGGACACGUUUUGAACUUUGGAGGUGCAAUGCGUAUGAUAUUCACUAUAAUUCCGUAUAUAUUUAUAUAUAUCAAAAUCUUUAUCUUAUGUACUAACUAAACUAAACUCUAAAUAUAAAUAAAAAUUAAUUAAAGUUCUAAUUCUUCUCCAACUCAAUCCAUUAUCUCCUCACAACUAACCUCAAACCCAUCCUUCCGCACCAUCGCAUACAACCUUGCCGCCGCUCUGAGCCUGCGGUCCAUCGUGCUUCACCGCUGCUCUUAGUCUUUUUCCGGUCGCCGCCUCCCCUCUUCGAAGGCCGUUUGAGGUUAGUUUUGAUUCUCGCUUCGUCUGUUAAUAAGCAUUAUUUUGGUAAAUGAAUUGGACGUGUUUAUAUUUAUUUUGAUUAGAAUUAUACUUAUAAUUAUUAUUAACAUUCCUUUUUGUUGUUUGUAACCAUUUGUCUUGUGAUGUUUGGUUCGAUCUGCAUGUUGUUUGUUGUAAUAUGAGCUGCUUCUUUUUUUAUUAGUGUUUUUGUUUUAUUUGCCACUGAAUUAUGUUAGUGAACUCUGUGUUAAGAUUUAGGGGCCGGGGUUUUAGCUUUCUACUACUUGAUCUUUCUUCAGCUUCAUCGUUCUCAUUAUGUCUUGUGUCUUCAGCAUCGGGCAUAUAUUCACUUUUUAGAAUGCAGUUCUUGGAGCCCAUCUCUGUUUUGUUGAGCAGUGCUUUAAUCAUGGCUAAUUAAAGAUUCGAUUUUUGGGAUUUUGAAGUCCUUGAUUUGCUGUCUUCUUGAAGAUAUUGCAAUCUACUUGAGUUUUUCUGUGAUGAGAGGAAACGUUCACUAUCUUGAUAUUUUUUGCUGUUAAGAUGGCUGCAUUAUGCGGAAGCUUUAUAAAUUGGAGUAGUUACAGUGCGAAAGAUUAAAAAAUAAACUUUUUUUCUUGCUAAUCUGAAUAUAUUUGUGGGAUGAAUAUGUUAGGCAUGGAAAAUUGUGUUCCUGGGUGCAUGUGAAAGGAAUUUUGAUCGUAUAUUUGUUAAUCCAUAAAGAAAGAAGUUCAAUUGAGUUUUGACAAGGAGAAUCUUGAAAUAAGAAAAUGGUGUCCUAGGAGAUCUUUUUUUUUUUUUCUCUCACGAGAAUCAUAGAUUCUGCUCCGAACAUAGAAAUGGUUGUAGAAUUUGGAACACUAGACCUUUUAUGAGCAGCUUAGAGCUCAAAGAAUUGGU
rnacentral:lncRNA from 1 species